rnacentral:rRNA from 1 species
UACGUAGGGGGCAAGCGUUGUCCGGAAUCAUUGGGCGUAAAGAGCGUGUAGGCGGCCCGAUAAGUCCGCUGUGAAAGUCCAGGGCUCAACCCUGGAAUGCCAGUGGAUACUGUCGGGCUCGAAUCCGGAAGAGGUGAGUGGAAUUCCUGGUGUAGCGGUGAAAUGCGCAGAUAUCAGGAGGAACACCAAUGGCGAAGGCAGCUCACUGGGACGGUAUUGACGCUGAGACGCGAAAGCGUGGGGAGCAAACAGG